UACAGAGGGUGCGAGCGUUAAUCGGAUUUACUGGGCGUAAAGAGCUCGUAGGCGGUCUGUCGCGUCUGCUGUGAAAACUCGAGGCUCAACUCCGGAUCUGCGGUGGGUACGGGCAGGCUAGAGUGAUGUAGGGGAGACUGGAAUUCCUGGUGUAGCGGUGAAAUGCGCAGAUAUCAGGAUGAACACCGAUGGCGAAGGCAGGUCUCUGGGCAUUAACUGACGCUGAGGAGCGAAAGCAUGGGGAGCGAACAGG
rnacentral:misc_RNA from 1 species